rnacentral:lncRNA from 1 species
CCAAAUUUACACAAAAGCCUAAAGGCAUAAAACGUAUAACCAAAAAAAGUCCAAGAAGAGUUCAGACUACAAAAGAGCGACGAUCCAAAGAAGUCCAAGAAGAGUCCAGACUGCAAAAGAACCCAAGAAUAAACGAUACGACGUGUUCAACACAGAGGGAAAGAGGGACACACAUAGAGCAUAAACGACUUCAAAAACCAUCACCGAAGACACUAACCGACAGACCAUCAAAACACACUGGAACAUGACUUCACAAAAAAGAGCUAUUGGUAAAUUAAGCAAAUAAGCAUAGUCACACCGCCAAAUCUUUGUCGCUGGAGCACAAUAAAUCGAUAUUAACUGAGAGCAAACCUGUUGGAUAUGGGCCUGACCCUCUCAAAAGGCCCACGGGAUAGUUUUCCUGACCCAUGACCAUGUGGAAUAGAUCCGGCUUUCCGAUUCGCGAGCGACCGAUCAGCUUGACUUGAGACUGCUUUUAGCCGAUCAAACGAGCGACUGAAAGCAGUCGAUUUGACGACUCGAGGCAGCGGCCCGACAGCUCGGUCCAAUCAACGAAAAGCCCAUCAGGUCAAGACGAGUUAGGUUAACGAGCAACCGCCUAUAAAAAGGAAGAGAGAGGCGUCGAGGAAGGGAUCCACAAAUCAUUACACACUUACUUUCGGCUAGAAACUAAGAUUUUACAUCUUUACUCUCACCGACUUGUUUCUCCGGCGAACUAGCUUUCGUCGGCUUACUUUCCACCAUUUCUUUCCCUUUUUGUAACACAAUCAAACGAUUCAUUGAUCUAAUAAAACGUCUUUGUCUCGAUCCACAGACGAGAACUCGUCCCCUUUCUUUACUAGUUUGUCGACAGAAACCCUAAAAUCAGUACAACCAAAAAAGCUAUAAGAUCAGUACCACCAAAAACCCUAAAAUGAAAUAGAUCAGGCCAAACAAUCUCCACUUCAGAGUUGAAAGUUCCUAUCUCAACAACUGCAUCCAAACAAAUGAAUUUCCUGCAUGAAAUGCCAGACAUCCUUGAUGAUAUGAGGAAACUUGAAGAUGAAUCGGUCCUAUUCGAAGAAAGAAAUCUAUUCUAUUAAAACAGCAACAUGACCAAUUGAUGUAAUGUUAUGUCCAUUUAUUUAUUUUCUUUAUUUAAAGAUAAACAAAAUAUAUAUAUCACUUUUACGUAACCGUUUGUUCCUAAUUAACCGUUUUCUCCUAUUACAUACAAUAUGAUGCAUUUUUGUUUGAUCGUGGACAUAUGAGGUGUUUAGUGGCUGACAUACUUUCAUUGAUAAUUUAUAAUAUAAUUUAUAAUAUAAUCGCCUGUUCAUAUAACCCUAAUAUAACUGUCCUAUUAAUAACUAAACAUAUGUCUACUGUCAUAUAUACACUUCUUUUUCCAUAUAUUUAUCGACUACUACCCUAAUGUAACCGUUUGUUAUCAAUAUGCAGUUCACCAAUAAUAUAACUGUUCAAUAUUAGAGCGGGUGGGAUUACAUUUAUUAUUUAAGAUAGUCAAGUCGAUAUUGUUUCUAUAUAAAAUUCAUUAGCUAUUAGCCUAUUACGUCUUCAUGUAUCAAACAACGAAGUGUAUAUAUGUUUUGAUAAAGAGUUACUUGACAUCUAUUCUAUUAAAAUAGGAACAUAACCUAUUGAUAUAAGAGCAGUCCAACUAUAUUAAUACAAUUAUUAAAAUUUCAUAUUAAUCAUUUAAGAGAAACAUUUUACAAAAAAAACAUAAAUAUGACUAAAACUACAAAUAUAAAAAUUAAAUUUCUAAAAAAUUGCAAAACAAAAAAUAUACCCGCCCUUUUAAGGGCGGGUCAUAAUCUAGUAAGAGGUUAAAUUGGAAGGUAACUGAAAUAGAAGAAGCCGAGGAAGCAUAUAUCAAAAAAAAAAGAGCCAGGAAAGCUCCAAAGAGAAGCCCUUGUCAACAUCGGAGGAAAUGGUGAGACACGGAACCAACAGCCAACGGUGUCACCAGAGAAGAGCGAUUGUCGUUAAGCCAAAAACCAGCCAGGUGGUGUUGGAGAAACCAUUGACUCCCGAGCGUCAAAGAUGGAAGAAAUCGGCGAUAAAAUCCUCUCUUUCUGAAUGGUUUUUAGAAACAAGAGAGAGAGAGGGACCCCCAAUGUUAUCAGAUGAAUUCCCCUUGAGAGGAUCAUAGUAUUAGUGAGGCUAUAUAAAGCCAAGUGUGUUACAGAAAUCUCGGACUUACAGUUAUGAUCUAAACAAAAGAAGUACAGCAGAAUUAAGAAUAUUCUCCUAUAUUCUUUCACCCAAUGGUUCAGUGCUCACCACAUUACUUUUUAUUGUAAGCUUCAAAAUAAGUCUUUUUAUAAAAAAAAGAGCUUAAAAAUAAGGAACUAGGAUUUAUAAAGUAUUGUAUAAGCAUUAGACAAAAAAGUGUUGUAUAUACUAGAACUAGGAUUUAUUAUUUGUAAAGUAUUUUUUUGAAUACAUCUAAAUGAAAUACAACUUCUUAUUUUUGAAAUCAACACAAUAAUUAGGCUUGGUUCUCUCCAGAGUAUGACACCUCAGAUUUUAAAAUGGUUGUGGGAUUGACAUGUCAUCAAAUGAAAAAAAGUUGAGUAACCAAUCUAAUUAUUUUGUAAGUACACGUCAGUUUCACUCAGCCAUAAUAAGAAAAGAAAAAUUAGGAAGAUUACCUAUCUCUUCUCCUCCUCCUCCUCCUCUUCCUCUGUCUCCUCCUCUCCUUACUCAAUUUUUCUCAGACAUGGGCUGGUCAAACCCCAACCCUUGCAAAUGGGACACCGUCCAAUGAGACGGGAGCAGCUGCGUCACGAGGAACCAGCUCAGACAUAAGGGGAUCCGCGGCACUUUCCCUCCGGAUGUCCAUAAACUCUCCGAGCUUGUCGUCCUCGAGACUCACGUCAGACGGUCAGAGAAGACAGAGCAGCGGCGUCGGGGAAGACAGAGCAGCGGGGUUGGAGCCGAGCUCAUCGUCCUCGAGACUCACGUCAGACGUCGGAGAAGACAGAGCAGCGGAGUCGGAGCCGAGCUCGUCGUCCUCGAGACUCAUCAGACAGACGUCGGAGAAGACAGUGCAGCGGCGUCGGCGAAGAAGAAGAGCAGCGGCGGCGUCGGCGAAGAAGAGCAGCAGCGUCGGAGAUGGUACUGAAGCGGGGCUGGUUGACGGCGUAGGUUGAAGAAGGCUUUGUUUGACAGCUGAAUUAGGUUUAAUCAAUUGGUUAAACCAAUUUGUAAUGGUAACCAAUUUUUAAUUGUAAACCAUGUAUCCAAAUUUCAUAUCGUAAAGAAAUACCAAUUUAUAAUCUGAU